CUGGUUUGCUCCAGUUGGGGUUACAUGCCCUCUCCAGCCGGUGGCAUCAUAGCAUCAAUGAUUCAGCAGCAGAGAGGAAAGCAUGCAGCGAUCACAGUUUGCAGAGCGCUCUGUACUGUCACACUAGGAAUAUUCCUUUUCUGAUGUUCACUUUUAAAUCAGCUGGGAGGUCCAACUGAUUAAACAUGGUUAAGGGGAUUUAGUGUUAUGGUAUUUAGG